rnacentral:rRNA from 1 species
CAGUCGCCGCGGGAAUACGUAGGUGGCAAGCGUUGUCCGGAAUUAUUGGGCGUAAAGGGCUCGCAGGCGGUUUCUUAAGUCUGAUGUGAAAGCCCCCGGCUCAACCGGGGAGGGUCAUUGGAAACUGGGAAACUUGAGUGCAGAAGAGGAGAGUGGAAUUCCACGUGUAGCGGUGAAAUGCGUAGAGAUGUGGAGGAACACCAGUGGCGAAGGCGACUCUCUGGUCUGUAACUGGCGCUGAGGAGCGAAAGCGUGGGGAGCGAACAGGAUUAGAUACCCCCGUAGUCCCUGUCUCUUAUAC